AACGGUCACUCCACAAUAUGAGCGUUCGUACAUAAAAGAAGGAGGAUUAUUUCCGUUAGCUUGCGGUGCGGCAGCGUGGAGACCUGUCGUAAAGCGGUGCAUCUCGCUGUAGAUGCCGCGAGGCGGAUGAGGAGGAGUCCCAUCCGUCAGAGCAUGUCAAAUG
rnacentral:ncRNA from 1 species